rnacentral:rRNA from 1 species
CCUACGGGCGGCUGCAGUGGGGAAUAUUGGACAAUGGGGGGAACCCUGAUCCAGCGACGCCGCGUGAGUGAAGAAGUAUUUCGGUAUGUAAAGCUCUAUCAGCAGGGAAGAAAGAAAUGACGGUACCUGACUAAGAAGCCCCGGCUAACUACGUGCCAGCAGCCGCGGUAAUACGGAGGGGGCAAGCGUUAUCCGGAUUUACUGGGUGUAAGGGGAGCGUAGGCGGCGAUGCAAGUCUGAAGUGAAAGGCGGGGGCCCAACCCCUGGACUGCUUUGGAAACUGUAUGGCUGGAGUGCAGGAGGGGUAAGUGGAAUUCAUGGUGUAGCGGUGAAAUGCGUAGAUAUUAGGAAGAACACCAGUGGCGAAGGCGGGCUGCUGGACAGUAACUGACGUUGAGGCUCGAAAGCGUGGGGAGCAAACAGGAUUAGAUACCCGGGUAGUC